GAGGCAGCAGAGCCAGGUCUGGACCUGGGUGUUUGCUACCUCUCUGGCUUUGGUCUCCAUAUCAAUGGUAUGAAGGCGGCGGUUUCUCCCUCACCGUGUUACGCGGCGUGAAAGUGGAAGCUGUGUCGAAAGCACACGGUGAGCAUUCAGAUGGGGGCCAGAAUUCAUCUCAGCCGGCCUUCGUCGUCACUUCAACUGUGGGUAGUUAAGCAGCAUUACUUACUACGUCCCAUUCCACAGAUGAAGAAACAGAGAGGCUGUGUGUAUUGGUGACUUUCUAAAUGACACGUUGUGAACAGGGAUAGGACGGGACCCUGCUCCAACCGUGUGCCCACCAGGCCAUCCUUGUUGCCUCGUGCCUGAUAACGAAGCAGGGCUGGAAAAGCGCUGUCAACAAAUGACUUCUUUUCACCUUUAGGACAAACUUCUGCAUAUGUAGGCCUGGUGGCAUUCCUCUCACCUUACAGGUGAGAAAACUGAGUCAAGGGACACGCCUGAGGUCCCACCGCUGACAGCGAGAGGCCAGAACUGUAACUUUCCUUCAUUCAAACCUGGUACCCACAUGACUCAAGCGAGGGAAAGGUCAGGGCACCCCUGCCUCCCACUGGCCUUAGAGCAGCCACACCCAUGAUCCUGGAACCUUCUGGACUCUGAGAUGCAGCAGAUCAAAGGCCUCGUGAUAAAAGUGGAGACCUAGAGACAAAUCUCGGACUGCUGAAUUUCUCCACUCUCAUGGCAUUGCCCAUCAAGAGGGAUUGCAGUUCUGAACAUGAUGGAUCAGAUGCAAUAUGAGGUGCUUCAUGUCUGCAGGCCUGUCCCAGGCUCUGGAGACCUUAUAGAGGAUGCUGCUGAAUUCCCUAGCUUGGCUUAUGGAGGAGCAAAAAGAUUCAGUUGAUUUCUAACCUCAUGUUUAGCCACCUGUUAUCAAAGCCUGCCCUGAGAGAUGUUCAUCUCCCAAUGUCUAUGUAGGGCCCAGGCGGCUGCAAUCGAAAUGACAGGUCAGCUCAGAGGUUAGGUUGCUGGCUGAGUGGCUAUUGUUUUCCCAGUUUCAAUUUCAUUGUCAUGACAACCCACACAAGUCAUUGUCCCGGCUGAUGCCUCUGUGUGAGGGUGUGUGAGGAACGCGUUUCGUCCCAGCUCGCUCUGCUUGACGGACGAAGAGCCAUCACUGAUCUCAGGUGGCUGCUCCUUUCUUUCCUCCAUGUGUUCACAGUGUUCUUAUUUUCUCCACCACUUACCCAGAAAUUGUUUUUGAAAAGUGUCUCAUUUCAACUGAAUUUGGCGCAGAGCAAUUGGGAACAUUGCUCGGCUGGGAUUUGCUCUCUCUCCUCAGCAGUUUUGCAGGCCGUAUCUCACUCCUGUGGGCUUCCAGAACUGCUGGGACCCCUGGCUGAGAUCAAGAGGGGCAGUAGAUGGGAACCUGCCUGUUUCACACUCGGAUCAUCCAAGGGAAGACACGAACGUUCUGCACACACAACAUGGUGUAAGCGCAACACGUGCCUUAACGUGUCUUCCAAGCUGUGUGGGACCCCCUCCUUGAAAAUUUCAAGAGACAGAUGGCUGGUGUUUCUGUUGUGCUCCAUGGCUCUGAGAAAUCCUGUGUCUGUGUAGGGCUGUGGAGAUGCCAGCUCUGGAUGGUAACAUCGGUGAGCCUGGAAGGCUUUACCUUGGAAGCAUGGGGCCUGUGUCUAUUGAACUCCUCUUUUGGGUCCUCCAGCACUUGAUGACUCUGAGAACACAUGCUCCUUUACUUCAGGAGGCAGCCUCAAAAGUGGACUGUCCUUCUUCAUUUUGGCACGGUGGUGAUUCCAUCGGGAGGGGCUUUGGGCCAGGUUUGUCCUGCUGUGGAGGCCCACAGGCAGGUCAAGCACUGAGAAACCCUGCCUGGCCUGGCAAGCCUUCUUCUCCUGAGGAUGGCUUCUCCUGUGGCUACAGGAUCAUCUAUGUUGGUCAAACAGAUGGCUAAGUGGCCUGAAAUAAUGGUACAAGACGUUUUUAAAAGAUAUUGGGAUUGCUUUGACUGAAAGAGAGGAUGUGAGGGACUGGAGUGUCAUUAAGAGUCUCAAAAUCAAGGAAGGUUUUUAUGGAGACAGGUUGAGCACUGCUGUGGGAAAUGCUGGGGUGUGACAGGUGGGUCACUGCCGUGGGAAAUGCCGAGGUGAGGCAGGUGGACCACAGCCGUGGGAAAUGCCGAGGUGAGG
rnacentral:lncRNA from 1 species